CUUAGAGCUGGAGGGGGAGGAGGAAGGCCGCCUUGCUUCCCGCGUCUCUCUCCAGAAGAGCCGCCUCUGGGUUUAUGCCGCGUUUCCUCCUGCGCCUUUAAAGCAGGUGCGGCCCAGGCAGAGGUCCCACAGUUCCAUAGAAAGUUGAGACCUCAUUAAGAAAAGUUCUAGGACUCAGUAUGUCAAGGUAUGGUGUAGCUCUGGCGUUUCCCAUUUGGUUAAUGCUGGUAUGUCAGUCUGGAUGCUGCCUCGUGGACUAUAUAACUGCUGCAAGUGGUUUUAGCCAUGUGCAUGAUUACAUCAACAAAUCAAACUGGGAUCAAGACUAUUGUGAAAGAAAAAGGAAAUUAUCUCAUUUUGGUGGCUGGAGACUUUCCACAGAAAAAUUCACAGCCACACUUCCCAUUGAUCAUAUUCAAGAGAAUUAUGUUCGUGAAGUGCGAGACGUCAUUUUUUCAUUUGUCUACCCUACACCAUUUAAAUCCAGAGUUCUGCUUGUAGCUGUCUCAAAGGAAGUCUUGGAAGAUAUUUUGGACCUGGAUGUGUCCAUCUCAGACUCGGAGGAUUUUAUACAGCUUGUCACUGGUGCAAAAAUUGCCUUGGGAUCUCUGCCUCUAGCCCACAGAUAUGGUGGCCAUCAGUUUGGUAGCUGGGCAGGUCAGCUGGGUGAUGGAAGAGCCCAUUUGAUUGGUGUUUAUACAAACAGGUUUGGUGACAGUUGGGAACUGCAGCUGAAAGGUUCAGGAAGGACUCCGUACUCCAGGAAUGGGGACGGCAGAGCUGUGCUCCACUCUUCUGUUCGAGAAUUCUUAGGAAGUGAGGCUAUGCAUUAUCUUGGCAUUCCUACAAGCAGAGCAGCUAGUUUAGUUGUGAGUGACGACGACGUGUGGAGGGAUCGGUUCUACAAUGGGAAUGUUAAAAAAGAAAGAGGUGCUAUAGUUCUGCGUGUUGCCAAAUCAUGGUUUCGAAUAGGAUCAUUAGAAAUUUUAGCUCAUUCUGGAGAACUGGAUUUGUUAAGGAUGCUGUUAGACCAUAUCAUAGAUGAGCACUUUCCAUCAAUAGACAUGAAUGAUUCAAACAGAUACCUGGCCUUCUUCUCUAGAGUAGUGUCUGAGACUGCAGGUCUGAUUGCCUUGUGGAUGUCAGUAGGCUUUGCUCAUGGUGUGUGCAAUACAGAUAAUUUCAGCCUGCUAGCCAUAACUAUAGAUUAUGGUCCAUUUGGUUUUAUGGACUCUUAUGACCCAGAUUUUGUCCCAAACACAUCUGAUGAUGAAAGACGGUAUAAAAUAGGAAACCAGGCAAACGUCGGACUGUUUAAUCUGAACAAGCUGUUACAGGCUCUAAACCCUUUAUUGGCUCCCAGACAAAAGCAGCUGGCUUCUCAGAUACUUGGGGAAUACCCAGAACAGUAUUAUAAACGCUUCACAGAACUAUUCAAAGCAAAAUUAGGUCUCCUAGGCGACAAUGAGGAUGAUAACUAUUUGAUUGCAUUCCUUCUAAAACUCAUGGAAGAUACACAAGCGGAUUUUACAAUGACUUUUUGGGAGCUCAGUGAGAUUUCAGAAGACCAGCUGAAGAGCACCAGCAUUCCUAAGGAAUUUUGGGCUCUGCAAGAUGUGGCUAAACACAAGCUCUUUUCAAGCUGGGUUAUGUUGUACCUCUUAAGGUUAAAAAGGAACUCGGGCGAUUCUGAUUCCAAGCGAAGCAAAAGAAUGAUGAGUGAGUAUAAAUCCUAGGUACGUGCUCAGAAACUGGAUGGCCGAGUCAGCUGCACAAAAGGCAGAAAGGAAUGACUUUUCUGAGGUCCACCUCUUGCAGCAGGUUUUGCAACACCCCUUUCAGAGGCAGGCAAUGGCUGAGAGAGCUGGUUAUGCACAACGCCCCCCUGCUUGGGCUAAAGACAUUAAAGUCAGUUGUUCAUCUUGAUGAAAAGAAACUGAGAUCAAGAUUAAAUGAAGGGAUAUAGCCUUCAAUUAAUACCAAACGACAAUAAAAGGACACAUUUAGAAUUUUAGUCAA